rnacentral:ncRNA from 2 species
UCAAUCUGAGAUCGCCUUCGUCAUGAUGAUCGUGGUACCGGGAAUCCGGUGAGACUCCGGAACUGACGCGCAGCGGUAUUGGGGAACGAGCGUGGCAUAAAGACACUGGCGAAUGCCGGGAAGUCGCCACGCAAGGCCGAGCCAACAGGUUCACGCCCCUGAGUCCGAAGACCUGCCAGGGAAUACAACUGCAC